GGGCGUAUAGCUCCAAUGGUAGAGCGGCGGAUUCCAAAUCCGUAGGCUGUAGGUUCGAAUCCUACUGCGCCCG
rnacentral:tRNA from 1 species